GGCUAAAGCGAUCAGUAUUAUCAUUCAAAUCUGUAAACAAAAGGUAAAUAACCAUAACACAGAUUUUGAAUGUUCGAUUUUGAUGGCAAGAUUUUCUAGGACUUAUUUCUUGGUGCUUAAUUGUAAAAGAUGUUGAAUCCCCCGGAGUGCUUAGUGUGGUAGGAAUGCUGAUUGGUAGAUAUAUCUGUCUAAUUUGUUGGCCAAAUCUAAGACGAAAAAGUGGUUGAUCAUAGUUUGAUGAAUCGGUUGUUGAAUCUUCGCCGCCAGAGCAGUCGUCUAUCCGCUGGUCUCAAUCUCAAUUCGAGCAAUCAAAUGAUAAGUACCACGGGGGGAUACGAAACGGUCAACGAUGAAAGUAUCCCAUCAACCAAUUCUUUGCUUCGGAACAACCUGAAACACCAGCCAGAAAGGACGGAAUUGAAUUUCAGCCCACAAGGAAGAUGCCGAGAAAAUGCUAGACGAUUUGACGGAUCCCAUCGGUUCGGUUAAGAACAGUUCGAUCGAUGACAAUUUGUAAAACGUCUUCUGGUCGAGCAAGUUAUCUCGAGUAUAAGCCAACGCGUUUCCGUUAACAUUUAAAAUACGAGCGAAACGAUUGAAGGAUGAUUCCCGCAUGGAAAAUGCUAUUUCGGAGUGCAAGUACAACUGAUGGCGCUCUUACCAAUCCUACAGAUAUACCUGAAUCGAUUCAAAUGAAGAAAAACAUAAGUUUUAAAAUGGAAAUUUUGUUCUUUAAAUCAUACAAGCUCAUCGAGAUCAUCAGUUGAAAAGUUUAAG